UUCAGAGUCCUGGAGACAUAAAGGAUGUACUUAGUGAAGAAUUGUUAGGAAUGUCGGUCAGUAUACUCACUCCACCCCAGCCCGGCCACAGCCAUUGUGCCUGAUGGAGAAACGUCCUUCUGCUGUUCUUUUUAAAAAAUUUGCUCUUGCAAGAGAGAGAGAGAGACAGAGAUGGUGAAUGAGGGCACAAGCAGAAGGAGAGGGAGAAGCAAGGUCCCAUGCGGGGCUCGAUCCCAGGACCCCAGGAUCAUGACCUGAGCCGAAGGCAGACGCUUAACGACUGAGCCACCCAGGCGUCCCUAUUCUUGGUGAUUUUAAAACACACCCGUACUUUAAAAGUGUUGAGGGUAAGUAGUUUUCAGUUGGAUUCCAUUACACAACGCACACAUCCCUUCACCUCUGGAUCUGACAUCGUAACAGGCAUUGGAGAGAUUUCACGGGUCACCGCCUCUUAAACAGACCUGACGGUUCAAAUCUCAAGCUGAGAACGCCAGAGCUAAAGUGUAUAUAGAUGGCACAUGACAUCUUCGUUUCAAAACAAAAGGGCGGAGUAGAACCUGUCAUUAGAAAGUGUGGCUGUGACCACAGAGUCCUCAUGCACAGGGAUGAUUGGACUACAACGCAGCGGCAAGGAACAUCGACAUUUGUGGCUGUUCUAGAACUGCCCCCUGCAGUGCGGCAGCAACCGGCUGCCUGUGGUUAUUUAACUUUCAAUGAGUUAAAAUGAAAUAAAGUUAAAAUUUCAGUUUCUUAGUUGGCGUAGCUACAUGUCCAGUGCCGAGAGGCCAUGUGGCCACGGCUGCCGUACUGGACGGUGCAGAAAUUAUGGAACAUGCCCAUCAGGGCAGGAAACUCUGCUCAAC